UAGUGCCUACGGGAGGCAGCAGGGGGGAAUAUUGCACAAUGGGGGGAACCCUGCUGCAGCGACGCCGCGUGGGUGAAGAAGUCAUUCGUGACGUAAAGCCCUAUCAGCAGGGAAGAAAAUGACGGUACCUGACUAAGAAGCCCCGGCUAACUACGUGCCAGCAGCCGCGGUAAUACGUAGGGGGCAAGCGUUAUCCGGAUUUACUGGGUGUAAGGGGAGCGUAGACGUCGGCGCAAGUCCGUAGUGAAAGCCCACGGCCCAACCG
rnacentral:rRNA from 1 species